AAGGAUGAGAGAUGAGAAAGGAUUAAAG
rnacentral:piRNA from 1 species